UGGCUCAGUGGUUAAGAGCCCUGGUUGCUUUUCCAGAAGGCCUGAGUUCAAAUCUCAG
rnacentral:tRNA from 1 species